rnacentral:tRNA from 1 species
GGAGGAGUGGCUUAGCAGUAGAGCAUCUGCCUGGCAUGCAAAAGGUCCCAGACUCAAUCCCCAGCAUCUCCA